rnacentral:rRNA from 1 species
UCCUUGGAACGGGGCGUCAUAGAGGGUGAGAAUCCCGUACGUUACCGAUCGUCAACCCCGUGUGAGACCCUUUCGACGAGUCGAGUUGUUUGGGAAUGCAGCUCAAAAUGGGUGGUAAAUUUCAUCUAAAGCUAAAUACCGGCCAGAGACCGAUAGCGCACAAGUAGAGUGAUCGAAAGAUGAAAAGCACUUUGAAAAGAGAGUUAAAAAGUAUGUGAAAUUGUUGAAAGGGAAGCGCUUGCAAUCAGACUUGCUCGCGGGUGUUCAGCCGUCCUCGGGGCGGUGCAUUCUCCCGUGAUCAGGCCAGCAUCGGUUUCGGCGGUUGGAUAAAGAUUUCGAGAAUGUAGCUUCCUUCGGGAAGUGUUAUAGCUCGUCUUGCAAUGCAGCCAGCCGGGACCGAGGACCGCGCUUUUUGCUAGGAUGCUGGCGUAAUGGUUGUAAGCGACCCGUCUUGAAACACGGACCAAGGAGUCGAUCAACUGUACGAGUGUUUGGGUGUCAAACCCUCCGCGUAAUGAAAGUGAACGGAGGUGAGAGCCUUUACAGGUGCAUCAUCGACCGAUCCAGAUGUCUUCGGAUGGAUUUGAGUAUGAGUAUCGUUGAUCGGACCCGAAAGAUGGUGAACUAUACGUGAAUAGAGUGAAGUCAGAGGAAACUCUGAUGGAGGCUCGCAGCGGUUCUGACGUGCAAAUCGAUCGUCAAAUUUGCGUAUAGGACUAAUCGAACCA